CUGUUGACAUUAACUAAUCGGUGUCCUUCAUCUGUAAAGAUGAUGAGAAACUGGGUGAAUUGCUGGAACCCGAAAGGCAAUCAGCAGCCAAGCUACAGAGGGCUUCUUGAAACCAAGAAAGGUUCUGUAGAAGGUUCAGAGACUAGUACGUGAGUCCCAACAAUAACCGUACACAAGCGCCCAGCCCCUUUAAAAACUAAAGUGCUUUCCUGUUUUAAAGGGUGAUGAUAUAGUCCACACAUUUGAGUUUGCA
rnacentral:ncRNA from 1 species